rnacentral:rRNA from 1 species
ACCCUAUUAUUUUUAAUGUAAUAUUUUAACCUUAGUAGUAUUAGUUAAGAUCUUUAAACUUAAAGAAUUUGGCGGUACUUUAGUCUAUUUAGGGGAAUCUGUUAAUUAAUCGAUAAUCCUCGUUGAAUCUUACUUUUAUAAAUUCUUGUAUAUCGCUGUUUAUGAAUAUAUUUUUAGAUUAUUUUCUUAAUUGUUUAUUAUUAAAUAUUUCAAGUCAAGGUGCAGUUAUAUUAAAGUUGAAUAAUGGAUUACAAUAAAUAUUAUUUAUAUGGAUAGUUUUUUAUAAUUGGUUUGAAGGUGGACUUAAAUGUAAUUUUAUGAAGACUGUUAAAAUGAUUUAAAGCUCUAUGGUAUGUACACAUCGC